GAUGAACGCUGGCGGCGUGCUUAACACAUGCCAGUCGAACGGAAAGGCCCAAGCUUGCUUGGGUACUCGAGUGGCGAACGGGUGAGUAACACGUGGGUGAUCUGCCCUGCACUUCGGGAUAAGCCUGGGAAACUGGGUCUAAUACCGGAUAGGACCACUUCUUGGAUGUUGUGGUGGAAAGUUUUUUCGGUGUGGGAUGAGCUCGCGGCCUAUCAGCUUGUUGGUGGGGUAAUGGCCUACCAAGGCGUCGACGGGUAGCCGGCCUGAGAGGGUGUACGGCCACAUUGGGACUGAGAUACGGCCCAGACUCCUACGGGAGGCAGCAGGGGGGAAUAUUGCACAAUGGGCGCAAGCCUGAUGCAGCGACGCCGCGUGGGGGAUGACGGCCUUCGGGUUGGAAACUCCGUUCGCUAGGGACGAAGCGUUUUGUGACGGUACCUGGAGAAGAAGCACCGGCUAACUACGUG
rnacentral:rRNA from 1 species